UACGUAGGUGACAAGCGUUGUCCGGAUUUACUGGGCGUAAAGAGCGCGCAGGCGGUCGUUCAAGUCGAGUGUGAAAGCCCCCGGCUCAACUGGGGAGGGUCACUCGAUACUGAUCGACUCGAAGGCAGGAGAGGGUAGUGGAAUUCCCGGUGUAGUGGUGAAAUUCGUAGAUAUUGGGUGGAACACCGGUGGCGAAAGCGGCCCCCUGGCCCGGUCCUGACGCUGAGGCGCGAAAGCGUGGGGAGCGAACAGG
rnacentral:rRNA from 1 species